UCCAUGGCUCUUUGCCCCAGCCGAGUUGCUAAUCAGCCAGCCACCCACUGGGGUUAUCGUUUUCUUUCGCUCUCCAACUUCUUCAUGCCAGUUUUUAUCACAAUCCCAAUCCCAUUCCCAUUCCCAUUCCCAUUCCCACCACCUUUUCCAUGCUCAUAUAUUAUAUAUAUUCACCGCUCUUCAAUUCGUCCUUCAUGCAUAUUCUCUCUCUCUCUCUCUCUCUCUCAGCUCUCAGACAAGUUUUCCUGACAAGACAUAUUGCGUUAAUUACAGUAUAUUAGAAAAUAUAUAGUACGAGAAACCGGCGAUCAGCUUAUGGGUAGCAGUAUGCUUUUCCCGCCGGUUCAAUUGCAGGGUUUGAUGAACUAUGACGAUCAGAAUCUCAUCCAGAUUCUGGAGAAUUAUGGCUGGAUUGAACGGCCCUCAGACAUUGGAAUCAAUUACGCACUUUCCAGCUGCUCACCAGCCGCCACCUCUGCAGCUGGGAAAAAGAAAGAUGACGCUUUUCCGCCGGAAAAUCUGGGAAGAGAGAGCUUCAAGAGGAGAAAAACCGACAAGGCAGUUGCAGUUGCAGAAGAGGAAAGAAAGGACAGGUGGAAGCAGAAAGGAUGCCAAGAAGAUGUCAGAAGUUCAGAGCAGACUGACAACAAUAGUAAGAAAGAACAUAGCACUGACACUUCCAAGGUAACACAAGACAAAAAGUCAGACUACAUUCAUGUCCGGGCACGACGGGGCCAAGCCACUGACAGUCAUAGUUUAGCAGAAAGAGUGAGGAGGGAAAAAAUCAGUGAGAGAAUGAGAUACCUGCAGGAUCUAGUACCAGGGUGCAAUAAGAUCACUGGGAAAGCGGGAAUGCUAGAUGAGAUAAUCAACUAUGUCCAGUCACUGCAAAAACAAGUAGAGUUCUUGUCAAUGAAACUGGCUGCUGUUAAUCCAAGACUCGAUUUCAAUAUUGACAGUUUAUUCACCAAAGAGAUGUUUCAAUCUAGUCCAUCUAAUUUUCCCCCGGUUGGAAUAAUAUCAGAUGUGUCUACUCCUUCCAAUCUGCUGCAAUUAGUUGCAUCUUUGGGAUUGGAAAUAGGCAUAAGUCCUUCAGAUAUGCCUCUUAGAACAACCAUUAAUUCUCCUGUCUCACUACCCAAAACACUCCUCAAUUCGUCCGCUAUAAAUCAGCAGGGACAGACCUGUCCAAUUUGGGAUGGAGAGUUACAAAACCUGUAUGCCAUGGAGGUUCAACAAGGAAGAUCACCAUCCUUCACUUCACAGCCAUUUAUGGGUAAGCAGAUCUAGCAAGUGCUCAAGUUUUUUACUUUUUUUCCUGUUACUGAUAAAACCAUAGAAAAAGGAGAUAAUCAGUGUAGAGAUAUCACUACAUGAUUGAGACCUGAGAAGCCCACAAAAAGUAUAAGAGAUUGCAAAAAGGAAUAGUUGGGCCCUCUGAUGUAUGCCAUGAAAGUGGCCUGUUAGGUUUGUAGAAGGCAGUAAUCCAAGGAUGGAGAUCUGAGCCGGAAUUCAGAUUCUUGAAUCAGUUCUUUCAGAAGUUACCAAAUACUAGCUGAUUCUUUCUUCCAAGUACAUAAACAUAUAUGUCUGUAUGUAUACAUAAGGUGUACAAAUGUCAUACUGGCAGUAUGCUAUCAUUAUUCAACUCUCAUAUUUUAUAAAAAGAGAAGCUUUUGUAUAUACAUAUAUAUAUAUAUAUAUAUAUCGAACAAGAAACCUGCAGUAGAAGUUUCAAUUUAAGAAAGAUAGUUUUGGCAA